UACGUAGGGUGCGAGCGUUGUCCGGAAUUAUUGGGCGUAAAGAGCUUGUAGGCGGUUUGUCGCGUCUGCUGUGAAAAUCCGAGGCUCAACCUCGGACUUGCAGUGGGUACGGGCAGACUAGAGUGUGGUAGGGGAGACUGGAAUUCCUGGUGUAGCGGUGAAAUGCGCAGAUAUCAGGAGGAACACCGAUGGCGAAGGCAGGUCUCUGGGCCACUACUGACGCUGAGAAGCGAAAGCGUGGGGAGCAAACAGG
rnacentral:rRNA from 1 species